CGCACCUUGCGCUCCCUGGCAUUCCGGGGAGCACGCCUGUUCGAGUAUCGUGAAAUCCUCAAGCCGGACAGGCUUUGUUGACUGUCUUGGCUUGGAUAUGGACUCUGCUGUUGGUGCAAACCGACAGCUGGUCUUAAAUGUGUUAGCUGAAUCUUGGUUUAAAAAGGGUUCUACUCGGCGUGAUAAUUAUCUUAUCGCUGAGGACAUUUCCUUCGGGAAGUGGCCCGUUCUUGACCUCGAGUUGCUUCUAAUCUGCUGGUGAAAUCUGGGACUUUACCGUCUCGGGUUUUCCGCAACCUUUUCAAUCUUUGAUCUCGAAUCAGGUGGGACUACCCGCUGAACUUAA
rnacentral:misc_RNA from 1 species